rnacentral:rRNA from 1 species
GUUAAGAAUCUUGCACAAUGGGCGCAAGCCUGAUGCAGCGACGCCGCGUGAGCGAUGAAGGCCUUCGGGUUGUAAAGCUCUUUUCUGGGGGAAGAAACAGACGGUGUAAUUACCGUCAUACUGACUGUACCUCAGGAAUAAGCCUCGGCUAAUUACGUGCCAGCAGCCGCGGUAAUACGUAAGAGGCAAGCGUUGUCCGGAAUCACUGGGCGUAAAGCGCGUGUAGGCGGCUUGGCAAGUCGGAUGUGAAAUCUCCGGGCUCAACCCGGGAACUGCGUCCGAAACUGCCUCGCUCGAGAACAGGAGAGGAGAGUGGAAUUCCGGGUGUAGCGGUGAAAUGCGUAGAUAUCCGGAGGAACACCAGUGGCGAAGGCGGCUCUCUGGCCUGUUUCUGACGCUGAGACGCGAAAGCGUGGGGAGCGAACGGGAUUAGAAACCCCAGUAGUCC